rnacentral:rRNA from 1 species
GAUGAACGCUGGCGGCGUGCUUAACACAUGCAAGUCGAGCGAAGCACUUGAGUUUGAUUCUUCGGAUGAAGACUUUUGUGACUGAGCGGCGGACGGGUGAGUAACGCGUGGGUAACCUGCCUCAUACAGGGGGAUAACAGUUAGAAAUGACUGCUAAUACCGCAUAAGACCACGGUACCGCAUGGUACAGUGGUAAAAACUCCGGUGGUAUGAGAUGGACCCGCGUCUGAUUAGGUAGUUGGUGGGGUAACGGCCUACCAAGCCGACGAUCAGUAGCCGACCUGAGAGGGUGACCGGCCACAUUGGGACUGAGACACGGCCCAGACUCCUACGGGAGGCAGCAGUGGGGAAUAUUGCACAAUGGAGGAAACUCUGAUGCAGCGACGCCGCGUGAAGGAUGAAGUAUUUCGGUAUGUAAACUUCUAUCAGCAGGGAAGAAAAUGACGGUACCUGACUAAGAAGCC